UACGUAGGGUGCAAGCGUUAAUCGGAAUUACUGGGCGUAAAGCGUGCGCAGGCGGUUGUGUAAGACAGAUGUGAAAUCCCCGGGCUCAACCUGGGAACUGCAUUUGUGACUGCACAGCUGGAGUGCGGCAGAGGGGGAUGGAAUUCCGCGUGUAGCAGUGAAAUGCGUAGAGAUGUGGAGGAAUACCGAUGGCGAAGGCAGCCCCCUGGGAUAACACUGACGCUCAGGCACGAAAGCGUGGGGAGCAAACAGG
rnacentral:rRNA from 1 species